GAAUAUGGGGGGACCAUCCUCCAAGGCUAAAUACUCCUGACUGACCGAUAGUGAACCAGUACCGUGAGGGAAAGGCGAAAAGAACCCCGGCGAGGGGAGUGAAAAAGAACCUGAAACCGUGUACGUACAAGCAGUGGGAGCACGCUUAGGCGUGUGACUGCGUACCUUUUGUAUAAUGGGUCAGCGACUUAUAUUCUGUAGCAAGGUUAACCGAAUAGGGGAGCCGAAGGGAAACCGAGUCUUAACUGGGCGUUAAGUUGCAGGGUAUAGACCCGAAACCCGGUGAUCUAGCCAUGGGCAGGUUGAAGGUUGGGUAACACUAACUGGAGGACCGAACCGACUAAUGUUGAAAAAUUAGCGGAUGACUUGUGGCUGGGGGUGAAAGGCCAAUCAAACCGGGAGAUAGCUGGUUCUCCCCGAAAGCUAUUUAGGUAGCGCCUCGUGAAUUCAUCUCCGGGGGUAGAGCACUGUUUCGGCAAGGGGGUCAUCCCGACUUACCAACCCGAUGCAAACUGCGAAUACCGGAGAAUGUUAUCACGGGAGACACACGGCGGGUGCUAACGUCCGUCGUGAAGAGGGAAACAACCCAGACCGCCAGCUAAGGUCCCAAAGUCAUGGUUAAGUGGGAAACGAUGUGGGAAGGCCCAGACAGCCAGGAUGUUGGCUUAGAAGCAGCCAUCAUUUAAAGAAAGCGUAAUAGCUCACUGGUCGAGUCGGCCUGCGCGGAAGAUGUAACGGGGCUAAACCAUGCACCGAAGCUGCGGCAGCGACGCUGAUGCGUUGUUGGGUAGGGGAGCGUUCUGUAAGCCUGCGAAGGUGUGCUGUGAGGCAUGCUGGAGGUAUCAGAAGUGCGAAUGCUGACAUAAGUAACGAUAAAGCGGGUGAAAAGCCCGCUCGCCGGAAGACCAAGGGUUCCUGUCCAACGUUAAUCGGGGCAGGGUGAGUCGACCCCUAAGGCGAGGCCGAAAGGCGUAGUCGAUGGGAAACAGGUUAAUAUUCCUGUACUUGGUGUUACUGCGAAGGGGGGACGGAGAAGGCUAUGUUGGCCGGGCGACGGUUGUCCCGGUUUAAGCGUGUAGGCUGGU
rnacentral:rRNA from 1 species